CGGGAUGGGCGGCGACCGGCAAACGGGUGCGGAACACGUACGCAACCUUCCUUCAAAUGGGGAAUAGCCCAGGGAAACUUGGAUUAAUACCCCGUAACAUUACGAGAUGGCAUCAUUUUGUAAUUAUAGCUACGGCGUUUGAAGAUGGGCGUGCGCCUGAUUAGGUAGUUGGCGGGGUAACGGCCCACCAAGCCUGCGAUCAGUAACUGGUGUGAGAGCACGACCAGUCACACGGGCACUGAGACACGGGCCCGACUCCUACGGGAGGCAGCAGUAAGGAAUAUUGGUCAAUGGACGCAAGUCUGAACCAGCCAUGCCGCGUGGAGGAUGAAGGUCCUCUGGAUUGUAAACUUCUUUUAUUUGGGAAGAAACCCACGGUUUCUACUGUGGUUGACGGUACCAGAUGAAUAAGCACCGGCUAACUCCGUGCCAGCAGCCGCGGUAAUACGGAGGGUGCAAGCGUUAUCCGGAUUCACUGGGUUUAAAGGGUGCGUAGGCGGGCAGGUAAGUCAGUGGUGAAAUCCCCGAGCUUAACUUGGGAACUGCCGUUGAUACUAUCUGUCUUGAAUACUAUGGAGGUAAGCGGAAUAUGUCAUGUAGCGGUGAAAUGCUUAGAUAUGACAUAGAACACCAAUUGCGAAGGCAGCUUGCUACACAGUUAUUGACGCUGAGGCACGAAAGCGUGGGGAUCAAACAGGAUUAGAUACCCUGGUAGUCCACGCCCUAAACGAUGGAUACUCGACAUCAGCGAUACACUGUUGGUGUCUGAGCGAAAGCAUUAAGUAUCCCACCUGGGAAGUACGACCGCAAGGUUGAAACUCAAAGGAAUUGGCGGGGGUCCGCACAAGCGGUGGAGCAUGUGGUUUAAUUCGAUAUACGCGAGGAACCUUACCUGGGCUAGAAUGCAUUUUGACCGUGGGUGAAAGCUCACUUUGUAGCAAUACACAAUUUGUAAGGUGCUGCAUGGCUGUCGUCAGCUCGUGCCGUGAGGUGUUGGGUUAAGUCCCGCAACGAGCGCAACCCCCAUCAUUAGUUGCCAUCAGGUAAAGCUGGGAACUCUAAUGAAACUGCCGUCGUAAGGCGCGAUGAAGGAGGGGAUGAUGUCAAGUCAUCAUGGCCUUUAUGCCCAGGGCUACACACGUGCUACAAUGGGGAGGACAAAGGGCUGCCACUUGGUGACAAGGAGCUAAUCCCAAAAACCUCCUCUCAGUUCAGAUUGGAGUCGAG
rnacentral:rRNA from 1 species